rnacentral:rRNA from 1 species
AGAGUUUGAUCCUGGCUCAGGACGAACGCUGACGGUGUGCUUUAGACAUGCAAGUCGAACGAGAAAGCCCUUCGGGGUGAGUACAGCGGCGAACGGGUGAGUAACACGUGGGUAACCUGCCCCUCGCAGGGGGACAACCGGGGGAAACCCCGGCUAAUACCCCGUACGCUCCGAGGUCCGCAUGGUCCUCGGAGGAAAGGUAGCUUCGGCCAUCCGGCGAGGGAUGGGCCCGCGGUCCAUUAGCUAGUUGGUGGGGUGACGGCUCACCAAGGCGACGAUGGAUAGCUGGUCUGAGAGGAUGAUCAGCCACACUGGGACUGAGACACGGCCCAGACUCCUACGGGAGGCAGCAGUCGGGAAUCUUGCGCAAUGGGCGAAAGCCUGACGCAGCAACACCGUGUGGGCGACGAAGGCCUUCGGGUCGUAAAGCCCUGUUGUUGGGGACGAAGGGCGAAGGGUUAAUAGCCCCUAGCUUGACGGUACCCUUCGAGGAAGCCCCGGCUAACUACGUGCCAGCAGCCGCGGUAAUACGUAGGGGGCGAGCGUUGUCCGGAAUUAUUGGGCGUAAAGAGCGUGUAGGCGGUUUGGUAAGUCUGCCGUGAAAACCCGGGGCUCAACCCCGGGCGUGCGGUGGAUACUGCCAGGCUAGAGGAUGGUAGAGGCGAGUGGAAUUCCCGGUGUAGCGGUGAAAUGCGCAGAUAUCGGGAGGAACACCAGUAGCGAAGGCGGCUCGCUGGGCCAUUCCUGACGCUGAGACGCGAAAGCUAGGGGAGCGAACAGGAUUAGAUACCCCCGUAGUCC